rnacentral:tRNA from 1 species
GCCGGUAUAGCUCAGAUGGUAGAGCGCUUGCCUUGUAAGCAAGAUGUCGCGGGUUCGAUUCCUGCUGCCGGCA